CGCGUGCAGGAAGAAGGCUUCGGGUUGUAAACUGCUUUUGUCAGGGAAGAAAUCUUCUGGGCUAAUACCCCGGGAGGAUGACGGUACCUGAAGAAUAAGCACCGGCUAACUACGUGCCAGCAGCCGCGGUAAUACGUAGGGUGCGAGCGUUAAUCGGAAUUACUGGGCGUAAAGCGUGCGCAGGCGGCUUUGCAAGACAGAUGUGAAAUCCCCGGGCUCAACCUGGGAACUGCAUUUGUGACUGCAAGGCUAGAGUACGGCAGAGGGGGAUGGAAUUCCGCGUGUAGCAGUGAAAUGCGUAGAUAUGCGGAGGAACACCAAUGGCGAAGCAAUCCCCUGGGCCUGUACUGACGCUCAUGCACGAAAGCGUGGGGACAAACAGGAUUAGAUACCCUGGUAGUCCACGCCCUAAACGAUGUCACUGGUUGUUGGACG
rnacentral:rRNA from 1 species